AGGACGAACGCUAGCGGCGUGUUUGAAACAUGCAAGUCGAACGAAAGAGGCAGCAAUGCCUUGAGAGUGGCGAACGGGUGCGUAACACGUAAAGAACCUAUCCUUUAGCGGGGGAUAGCCCUUAGAAAUGAGGGUAAUACCGCAUAAGGUAUAAACCACGCAUGUGGAUUAUAGGAAAGGGUUAUGUAAAUAACUCACUAGAGGAGGGCUUUGCGGCCUAUCAGGUAGUUGGUGGGGUAAAGCCUACCAAGCCAAAGACGGGUAGCUGGU
rnacentral:rRNA from 1 species